rnacentral:sRNA from 1 species
GGAUGAUGGGGAGAUCUGGCUGCGACAUCUGUCACUCCAUUGAUUACCAGAGUUGAUUCGGCUGAUCUGACUGGUGAGGUGGGUGUCCCCUUCCUCCCUCACAGCUCCAUGUAUAUCCCUCCUGAAGCUGCGCACUUGGUUGAAGAGGACAACUGCCCCUGAUAGAAGAGGACCAUUUCUAAUGUCUGCAUCAUCCUCAUUAACAUAUGCAUGAUACCUGCCUAUCCUGGCCCUUGAGUACAUGAAGCUUGGUCUUCAU